rnacentral:miRNA from 1 species
UGAAGUCUCAGAGAACCACAUUCGCAGAGUCGUAGGGGACUGUCCACCUCUCAGGGCAAAUUUAAAGCCAUAAGUGUCCUGGGUUAAAUUUGCCCUGAGAGGUGGACAGUCCCCCACGACUCUGCGAAUGUGGUUCUCUGAGACUUCA